rnacentral:rRNA from 1 species
UACGGGGGGGGGCAAGCGUUGUUCGGAAUUACUGGGCGUAAAGGGCCAGUAGGCGGCCAACUAAGUCGGAUGUGAAAUCCCCAGGCUUAACCUGGGAACUGCAUCCGAUACUGGAUGGCUUGAAUCCGGGAGAGGGAUGCAGAAUUCCAGGUGUAGCGGUGAAAAUGCGUAGAUAUCUGGAGGAAUACCGGUGGCGAAGGCGGCAUCCUGGACCGGCAUUGACGCUAGGCGCGAAAACGUGGGGAGCAAACAGGG